AUUUUAGUUGAAAUAUUUCGUAUCUUCCUACCAUGGUCUCAAAGGAAAAGCAGGGCAGAAAUGAAGCAGUGGGAGCUCACUAAGAGCCAGGUACUAAUACAGUUUUUCUAUGGAAUCCCCCAAUAAACAUUAAAGCAGGAAUUACUACCAGUCCACAGCUACUAGGGAUAAUUAAACAUUCUUAAUGAAAAUGUCAAAGGGAAAGAAAAAUGCAGCCCUAGCAGCAUGAGAUUUGGGUGCUAGCAUUGACAGCAAAGCAAGGGCUUUAAUCACUAGGCCCAUGCAGUUCAAGGAUGACUUCACUGUUAACUGCCCCUUCACUAAAUCACAGGUGGACCAAGACCUGUCUCAGGCUCCUAACAGCAUCUUUCUCCCAGGGCCUUAUUCAAGGAUAUUUUUGGUUUGCUAACCUACUUUUACUUGGUUGGGAAAAGAUAGGACUUGGGCUGUGACUGCCUGGCUUAUGUUCUAAAGAGGCAUCCUUGUCUGACAGCAUGUCAAGGGGAAAAAACUGGUUCACAUGCCAAGGUCUAGAACAGGUAAGAAUUAGCUCCAUCUAAUGUGAGCUCUUAAUAGUCUCAACUUGAGUCUCUGAUUUCCAAGGGAAUCUGUGUACGUGAUGCAGUCGUCCUACUCCACCUCCUCAGCUGGGACUCUUCUCUUUGAGCAAGGCUUCAGGCCCACCUCCGUGUCAGGUAGGAGCACAUGCGAAGAACUCUGCCUCUACUGCUGCUGCUAAUAAGUCGCUUCAGUCGUGUCUGACUCUGCAACCCCAUAGACGGCAGCCCACCAGGCUCCCCCAUCCCUGGGAUUCUCCAGGCAAGAACACUGGAGUGGGUUGCCAUUUCCUUCUCCAGUGCAUGAAAGUGAAGUCGUUCAGUCGUAUCCGACUCUUAGUGACCCCAUGGACUGCAGCCUACCAGGCUCCUCCAUCCAUAGGAUUUUCCAGGCAAGAGUACUGGAGUAGGGUGCCAUUGCCUUCUCUGGCCUCUACUGCUGGCAGUGUUGAAAAAGCCUUCCAAACCAAAAUGAGAAAGGCAGUGAAAUAUUGCUGUGCCUUGCCCCAGGAGUCCUAACUUUGAAGGGACAGAGUAAACUUGGGGAAAUAAACAACUUGCUUGGCUUGCUUUUCAUUUAAAUAAAUAGGUUAUCUGGCUAUUUAUUUUAAUGAAAAACAAGCCAGGUAAGGUUCUGUUUCUUAGGGAGUGCGUG
ensembl:lncRNA